rnacentral:rRNA from 1 species
AUUGAACGCUGGCGGCAUGCCUAACACAUGCAAGUCGAGCGAGCGGCGGACGGGUGAGUAAUGUCUGGGAAACUGCCUGAUGGAGGGGGAUAACUACUGGAAACGGUAGCUAAUACCGCAUACCAUCCGCUCUUCCCAGAUGGGAUUAGCUAGUGGGUGGGGUAACGGCUCACCUAGGCGACGAUCCCUAGCUGGGCUGAGAGGAUGACCAGCCACACUGGAACUGAGACACGGUCCAGACUCCUACGGGAGGCAGCAGUGGGGAAUAUUGCACAAUGGGCGCAAGCCUGAUACAGCCAUGCCGCGUGUGUGAAGAAGGCCUUCGGGUUGUAAAGCACUUUCAGCGGGGAGGCGUUACCCGCAGAAGAAGCACCGGCUAACUCCGUGCCAGCAGCCGCGGUAAUUC